GUAGUUCUACAUCCUUAUAUAAACUUUUUCCUUGAUAGAUUCAUCAUCUAGGCCAAUGUGAUCAUGAAAAAUAUAAUUUUUUUGGUAGUUUUUGUACAUUGUCCAUGUGUUAUUUAUAGAAGAAACCCUUUAUAAAACGUCCAUUUUAAUUUGUGAGAAAACUUUUCCCUUAGAUAAAGUGAUUGUACACCAGUCCUGUGUAUAGUAUAUACUAAUUUUGCGUAGAGAACAAAAACCUAGAGUAUGUUCUAGACACAAACUGGC
rnacentral:lncRNA from 1 species